rnacentral:tRNA from 1 species
GUCUGUGUGGCUCAGUCGGUUGAGCGUCUGACUUGAGCUCAGGUGAUGAUCUCAUGGUUCACAGGUU